UUCUAAUUAUCUUUUAGUUUCUUUUUUUUCAUAUAAUGUUCAUAUUUUAUUUUAUUUAAGCUUUAUUUCAGUGAUCAAAAAUUAUUUUAAUGUUUGAAUUGUUCUGACACUCUGCCUAACAUCUAAUUUAGUGUUUAAUGGAAGGCAGAAAAUGGUUUGGAACGACAUGAGGGUGAGUAAAUGACGGGAUUCUCAUCAGGUGAACUGUUCCUUUAAGGGUUUUGAGUUUGGGUUAAGUGUUCCACUUUCCCUGUGGGCUGAACCUGUGUAUAGCUUAGCUAGCGUUAUGCUAGCCUUUCGUCAGAUUAGGUGACCUUAUCACAGCAGCUGUCUGUUUGUGUGUGCGUUGUGGUAGGAGUAUUGCCUGUCAUAUGUGGCUGUGGCUGUGUAUGCUAUGCGGCGGAGUUUUUGCGGUCUUGUGCCGAGAGGGGUAUUGUAUUGCAUAGGAAGUGUUUUGGGCCGUGUGGCAGAUGGUGGGUAAUAAAAUAUCAUUACAUUUGUGCUCCGAGGCUUUGCUGGCAGCCAAAUGAUAAUAUAGAAGUCUGCAACUUCAGCAGCAAUGAGAUUCUCUGACCGUAUUACCUGGGAAUACAGAGCAGGGAAAACACACAGAGUGCAGAGAACAGAAUUCUAUAUGCUGAGAAAACUCUGGCUGGACCCCUGGGAUGGAAUUGUUUUCUGUGACUGGGAUGAAGAGAUGGAAAAGUCACCUCUUCCGUUCGUGCCUGUGUUAGCAGUGGCACAUGGGCUGAGGUCAUCACAAACACACCAUCAUCUGGCUAUAUUGGCCUGCCAGAUUUCAUCUUGUUGUUUUUCCAUCGAUCACUGCAUGCAACUCUCAAUAGGGCUUUAAAGGAGAGGUUGAUGUGCUCGAUAGUGUACCACUGUUGUUGUUGUUUUUCCUUUUCUUAUUUUUCUUAUUUUUUUUUUUUUUUUUUUUGCCUGUAGUGUGCUAGAGGGGUUAUGUUGUCAUUUUUGGACUCUGUGUAUUGAUGUUGCAUGCUCCUUUCAUUUUUACCCCGGUUCUGCUAUCACAACUUUUUUUUUUUUUUCUUGGGUUUUAAAUUUCAAGCAAUACUUUUUUUGAAGCCUUAAAUAUUUUAAUAGAUGCAAAGUGUUCAGCUGAGGUCGCCCACACACUAGAGUUUACUCUGUGUCUGAGAACGCUGCGGAUCAAUUCCCUCCUGGAAUAUCCAGCUUAAGCUGAUAGCUGUGUCGUGGAACUUGCGAGCUGGUUUAUAGACAGUCUAAACUGGUAUUUAAUUGGUCUAAGCUGGUCAUUCGUAAUUUACUAGGCAAUCUUGGACCAACAAACCAGAUUUGGUUUGGAAAUUUGGAAGGCAGGUUUGGAAAUCCUAUUUAUUGUAUCCCCACUUGAUGUCACACUUCUUCUAAACUCUCAAAAACCGACUUAUCAUUCCUAUCGACAAGCUUCCCAUAGUCAGCAGGCAU